rnacentral:rRNA from 1 species
AGUCGAACGGUGAAGCAGAGCUUGCUCUGUGGAUCAGUGGCGAACGGGUGAGUAACACGUGAGCAAUCUGCCCCUGACUCUGGGAUAAGCGCUGGAAACGGCGUCUAAUACCGGAUACGAGCUGCGAAGGCAUCUUCAGCAGCUGGAAAGAAUUUCGGUCAGGGAUGAGCUCGCGGCCUAUCAGCUUGUUGGUGAGGUAACGGCUCACCAAGGCGUCGACGGGUAGCCGGCCUGAGAGGGUGACCGGCCACACUGGGACUGAGACACGGCCCAGACUCCUACGGGAGGCAGCAGUGGGGAAUAUUGCACAAUGGGCGAAAGCCUGAUGCAGCAACGCCGCGUGAGGGACGACGGCCUUCGGGUUGUAAACCUCUUUUAGCAGGAAAGAAGCGAAAGUGACGGUACCUGCAGAAAAAGCGCCGGCUAACUACGUGCCAGCAGCCGCGGUAAUACGUAGGGCGCAAGCGUUAUCCGGAAUUAUUGGGCGUAAAGAGCUCGUAGGCGGUCUGUCGCGUCUGCUGUGAAAACCCGAGGCUCAACCUCGGGCCUGCAGUGGGUACGGGCAGACUAGAGUGCGGUAGGGGAGAUUGGAAUUCCUGGUGUAGCGGUGGAAUGCGCAGAUAUCAGGAGGAACACCGAUGGCGAAGGCAGAUCUCUGGGCCGUAACUGACGCUGAGGAGCGAAAGGGUGGGGAGCAAACAGGCUUAGAUACCCUGGUAGUCCACCCCGUA